rnacentral:rRNA from 1 species
UACAGAGGGUGCAAGCGUUAAUCGGAAUUACUGGGCGUAAAGCGUGCGCAGACGGUUGCGUAAGUCAGAUGUGAAAGCCCCGGGCUCAACCUGGGAAUUGCAUUUGAGACUGCGUAGCUAGGGUGCGGAAGAGGGAAGCGGAAUUUCCGGUGUAGCGGUGAAAUGCGUAGAUAUCGGAAGGAACACCAGUGGCGAAAGCGGCUUCCUGAUCCAGCACCGGACGUCAGGCACGAAAGCGUGGGGAGCAAAC